GGCGGUGUGCCUAAUACAUGCAAGUCGAACGCGUUGGCCCAAUUGAUUGAUGGUGCUUGCACCUGAUUGAUUUUGGUCGCCAACGAGUGGCGGACGGGUGAGUAACACGUAGGUAACCUGCCCAGAAGCGGGGGACAACAUUUGGAAACAGAUGCUAAUACCGCAUAACAGCGUUGUUCGCAUGAACAACGCUUAAAAGAUGGCUUCUCGCUAUCACUUCUGGAUGGACCUGCGGUGCAUUAGCUUGUUGGUGGGGUAACGGCCUACCAAGGCGAUGAUGCAUAGCCGAGUUGAGAGACUGAUCGGCCACAAUGGGACUGAGACACGGCCCAUACUCCUACGGGAGGCAGCAGUAGGGAAUCUUCCACAAUGGGCGCAAGCCUGAUGGAGCAACACCGCGUGAGUGAAGAAGGGUUUCGGCUCGUAAAGCUCUGUUGUUAAAGAAGAACACGUAUGAGAGUAACUGUUCAUACGUUGACGGUAUUUAACCAGAAAGUCACGGCUAACUACGUGCCAGCAGCCGCGGUAAUACGUAGGUGGCAAGCGUUAUCCGGAUUUAUUGGGCGUAAAGAGAGUGCAGGCGGUUUUCUAAGUCUGAUGUGAAAGCCUUCGGCUUAACCGGAGAAGUGCAUCGGAAACUGGAUAACUUGAGUGCAGAAGAGGGUAGUGGAACUCCAUGUGUAGCGGUGGAAUGCGUAGAUAUAUGGAAGAACACCAGUGGCGAAGGCGGCUACCUGGUCUGCAACUGACGCUGAGACUCGAAAGCAUGGGUAGCGAACAGGAUUAGAUACCCUGGUAGUCCAUGCCGUAAACGAUGAGUGCUAGGUGUUGGAGGGUUUCCGCCCUUCAGUGCCGGAGCUAACGCAUUAAGCACUCCGCCUGGGGAGUACGACCGCAAGGUUGAAACUCAAAGGAAUUGACGGGGGCCCGCACAAGCGGUGGAGCAUGUGGUUUAAUUCGAAGCUACGCGAAGAACCUUACCAGGUCUUGACAUCUUGCGCCAACCCUAGAGAUAGGGCGUUUCCUUCGGGAACGCAAUGACAGGUGGUGCAUGGUCGUCGUCAGCUCGUGUCGUGAGAUGUUGGGUUAAGUCCCGCAACGAGCGCAACCCUUGUUACUAGUUGCCAGCAUUAAGUUGGGCACUCUAGUGAGACUGCCGGUGACAAACCGGAGGAAGGUGGGGACGACGUCAGAUCAUCAUGCCCCUUAUGACCUGGGCUACACACGUGCUACAAUGGACGGUACAACGAGUCGCGAACUCGCGAGGGCAAGCAAAUCUCUUAAAACCGUUCUCAGUUCGGACUGCAGGCUGCAACUCGCCUGCACGAAGUCGGAAUCGCUAGUAAUCGCGGAUCAGCAUGCCGCGGUGAAUACGUUCCCGGGCCUUGUACACACCGCCCGUCACACCAUGAGAGUUUGUAACACCCAAAGUCGGUGGGGUAACCUUUUAGGAGCCAGCCGCCUAAGGUGGGAC
rnacentral:rRNA from 1 species